AUCUGUGCUGCCAACACUGAAUUUUGGCUUGGCUCAGGAUUUGGAAAUGCCACAGCCUGACUUCUUCCUGAAUGGUCUUGAUCAUAUGAUUUGCCUGUAACUGGUCACCCAAUUGGCAUCCUUGGAAUCUUUUAGUCUCUAUGCUCAAUGGAAGGGACAGGAUUGGUGUUACGUAGAUAUCAUGUAAUCACUUGAACCACUGCACCUAACUCAAAUGUUAUCACUAGACGGUGAACAACUCUUC